rnacentral:rRNA from 1 species
GGCAUGAAUGUAUUGAAAUACUUAAACAAUUAAAGCUUACAGCCAUGGCUGAAAACUUUGAUGACGUGGUUAUUGAUGGUAUACGCCGUAAGCGUUCUACG